rnacentral:rRNA from 1 species
UUCCGGUUGAUCCUGCCAGAGGCGACCGCUAUUGGAGUUCGAUUAAGCCAUGCGAGUCGAGAGUCUUAGGGACUCGGCAUACUGCUCAGUAACACGUGGAUAACCUGCCCUGUGCUGGAGGAUAACCUCGGGAAACUGAGAAUAAUACUCCAUAGACCACUAUGCCUGGAAUGGUUUGUGGUUCAAAGCUCCGGCGGCACAGGAUGGGUCUGCGGCGUAUCAGGUUGUAGGGGGUGUAAAGGACCCUCUAGCCAUUGACGCGUACGGGUUGUGGGAGCAAUCGCCCGGAGAUGGAUUCUGAGACACGAAUCCAGACCCUACGGGGUGCAGCAGGCGCGGAAACUUCACACCGCGGGAAACCGUGAUGAGGGAACUCCAAGUGUUUGCACUAUGUGCAAUCUUUUCUUGACUUUUAAUAGGUCUUGGUAAUAAGGGGUGGGAAAGACCGGUGCCAGCCGCCGCGGUAAUACCGGCACCCCAAGUGGUCGUCGCUUUUAUUGGGCCUAAAACGUCCGUAGCCUGUUUGGUAAACCCGUGGGUAAAUCAACAUGCUCAACAUGUUGACUUCUGCGGAGACUGCCAGACUAGGGACCGGGAGAGGUGUGGGGUACUCAUGGGGUAGGGGUAAAAUCCUGUCAUCCCAUGAGGACCACCUGUUGCGAAGGCGCCACACUGGAACGGAUCCGA